CAUGAAGCUGGAAUUGCUAGUAAUCAUAGGUCAGCAUACUAUGGUGAAUACGUUCCCGGGCCUUGUACACACCGCCCGUCACACCAUGAGAGUUGAGAAUACCCGAAGCCCAUGUCAAAGUGGUCGAAGGUAGGCUUGAUGAUUGGGGUGAAGUCGUAACAAGGUACC
rnacentral:rRNA from 1 species